GCUAGAAAUUGAAGGAAAAAGAAGAACGAUUGUUUUUCCAUUGCUCGCAUCUCAUCCAUAUGCAUAAGAGGCAGACCUGUUGAAUGUCUAUGAAAUUUGAUCAAAGGAAUAGUCGGCGACUCUGAUGAACGGCGGCUGCGCUCGUCUUGCCAAAAUGAAAUUUAACGUUCAUCGGAAUUAUGGAGAAUGCGGCGCGCGUUGCGUUGCAAAUCAAUGAUCAGUGGGGCGAUA